rnacentral:rRNA from 1 species
UACGUAGGGGGCAAGCGUUGUCCGGAUUCAUUGGGCGUAAAGGGCGCGUAGGCGGUGUGUCAAGUCAGGCGUGAAAGCCCCGGGCUCAACCUGGGAACCGCGCUUGAGACUGGCACGCUCGAGUUCGGGAGAGGAUGGUGGAAUUCCCAGUGUAGAGGUGAAAUUCGUAGAUAUUGGGAAGAACACCGAUGGCGAAGGCAGCCAUCUGGACCGACACUGACGCUGAGGCGCGAAAGCGUGGGGAGCAAACAGG